AAAAGCCCAGCGCUGAAUCCAUCGGCCACUGGUCGCUUGGAGUUGUAGCGUAUAGGUGCGGCUGUCCGUUCGUUUCGCGCACCCAAAGUCCCCUUGAGCGGGGCUACAGUCCGAAGAAGGUGCUAGACCUGUACGGGUGGCGAGACGAUCGGUUGGUCGCUCCUUGGAGUCGGGUUGCCUGGGAUCGCAGCCCAAAGUUGGUGGUAGACCUCAUCUAAGGCUAAAUAUGGCCACGAAACCGAUAGCAAACAAGUACCGUGAGGGAAAGUUGCAAAGAACUUUGAAGAGAGAGUUCAAGAGGGCGUGAAACCGCUGAGAUGGAAACGGAUAGAGUUGACGGAGCUCUGCUGCAUUCACCCGAUCGGCCCAGCGGUCCGACGGCUUUGACUUCCUCGAUGAGGGCAAGGCUGCUGGUAGCUGUUGGGUAUUUGAUCGGUGUAUUUGCGGCUGGUAUGCGCUGAGGGCUUUGUGAGCGCAUGUCGACGGGCGUGGAGUGGACCAUACCUUUCCGGUGUGGAACCCUUCGCGCUCUUAGGCAUGUCGCUUGUAAAGUUUUAAGUGCCGUCUCCGCUAUGGUGCAUCGGCUUUGUCGAGCUGUUGUGGCUUCAGGCUGGUCGCAUGCGACCGUCGGUCGUCGUCAACGGCGCGCCAAAGCACAGAUGCGCCGAGAUGUGCACCUCGGUGUGAACGUUGACCACCUAUCCGACCCGUCUUGAAACACGGA
rnacentral:rRNA from 1 species